rnacentral:rRNA from 1 species
UAGGGAAUCUUCCGCAAUGGACGCAAGUCUGAUGGAGCAACGCCGCGUGAGUGAAGAAGAUCUUCGGAUCGUAAAACUCUGUUGUUAGAGAAGAACACGAGUGAGAGUAACUGUUCAUUCGAUGACGGUAUCUAACCAGCAAGUCACGGCUAACUACGUGCCA